CAUACGCGUUCAGAGUUUGAUCCUGGCUCAGGAUGAACGCUAGCUACAGGCUUAACACAUGCAAGUCGAGGGGCAGCAUGAAGUUUGCUUGCAAACUUUGAUGGCGACCGGCGGAUGGGUGAGUAACGCGUACCCAACCUGCCCCCUUCCCGGGCACAGCCCUUGGAAACGAGGAUUAACGCCCGAUGGCGUCUGGAUGCCGCAUGGCAUUCCGACCAAAUGCGAAGGAAGGGGAUGGGGGUGCGUCCCAUUAGCUUGUUGGCGGGGUAACGGCCCACCAAGGCAUCGAUGGGUAGGGGUUCUGAGAGGAAGGUCCCCCACACUGGAACUGAGACACGGUCCAG
rnacentral:rRNA from 1 species